AUGCGAAGCCUCCGUCGUGGCGGUGGCGCCGGGCGGGGCUUCUCGUCGCCUCCUGGCUGGCCCGUUGCGUGCGCUCCCUCGUGGCGGUCAGCUCAGCGCUCCGUACGCGCGUUGGUGCGUCUCUCGGUGGCAGAUCCGGGGCGGCUGUGCUCCCAUGGCCAAACCCGUGACUCCUGCGUGGCACCUUGCCCCUCCGCUUCCUUCAAAGGAGGCCCGGUGCGGCGCAUCCUCGAUCUACAUCAUCCGGCUCCACCCAUCCUCCCUCCUCGAGCUCCCGGUGAUAGUGGCUCGGCCCGGCCAUCCUAG
rnacentral:rRNA from 1 species